rnacentral:rRNA from 1 species
UGAGCAACCUGCCUUUAGCUCUGGGAUAACCCCGGGAAACCGGGGCUAAUACCGGAUAUGAGUCCGAGCGGCAUCACGCGGACUGGAAAGUUUUUCGGCUAAGGAUGGGCUCGCGGCCUAUCAGCUUGUUGGUGGGGUAAUGGCCUACCAAGGCGACGACGGGUAGCCGGCCUGAGAGGGCGACCGGCUACACUGGGACUGAGACACGGCCCAGACCUCCGUACGGGAGCAGCA